UUUAUUUGAGAUUUGUGUGUGUUCGGUUUGCCCCAAAUCCCAACAUACAGCUAUCUCCAAAUUGUCUUAAACCUAAUAUCCAGUUCACAAUCACAACUCACAAGUUCUUGUGCUCAAAUCACCGAGCUCUCAUAUCUUGAACCUUUGAUUCGUCCUAGCCCUCAUAACCUGCGCCACACUAAAAAUCUCUCUCUCACAAAAAUCUCAGAGGAAAAGCGAGGUCAGAGAUCUCCCUAGAGUUAUCGAAAUAGUGACAAAAGAGUCUAAAACACCUUCGUCGCCAAUCGCAACCCACCAAUCUUCUUCACUUUUGUCCUGAGGUAAAACCGUAGAACCCAUUUAGAUUGGGUUCUGAUUGUUGAUUGACAAUCUGAUUUGUCGGCGACGGCCAAGAUUGGAGAUGAAUUUGGGUUCCAAGGAAAGAAGAAGGAAGACCAUAGAGCAACAGAACUGAAAAUCAAGGCUAUAUGAAAGAGAGGACAAGGACCAGCGUGGAAGCUAUGUUACUGGUAUAUGGUUAAUUUAAUUGUAUGAUAGAUGGUCAGAACCUAUUUCCUCCUUCUAUUCCCAGAAUUGUUGGUAGCUGCAAAGAAAGCUUUUUCUUCUGUCAGCUGUUCCAUCUUUUUUAUUUUAGUGGUGGUUAGUUCAAUGUGUAAAGUUGGAUUGCUCUACCCAUUAUCGUACUGGGAUUGAAGUGCAGGAUAGUUUGUUGAUUUCACUGAACAAGGAAUGAUCCGUGACUUCUCAAAGAUAAGUCUGCAACCCAGAAUUUUCAAUGAACCUCCUUGCUUUCAGUUCAGCUUUCAGGUACUUGAGAAUGAGGCUACUGUAGCUGGAAGUGUUAUACAAUUCUAAAGAAUGUUUUCCAGUAUUUCAAGUCUAUGACUUAGAUUAGAUUUCUUGAACUAGAUUUCUGUGAACUUGUUGUUUGUCAUUAUGAAAUUUUCUAUAUGUAACUGUUACUCUAAAUUAUAUUGAAAAGUUAAUCAUUU